rnacentral:rRNA from 1 species
GAUGAACGCUGGCGGCGUGCUUAACACAAGCAAGUCGAACGGAAAGGCUCCUGCUUGCAGGGGUACUCGAGUGGCGAACGGGUGAGUAACACGUGGGUGAUCUGCCCUGCACUUCGGGAUAAGCUUGGGAAACUGGGUCUAAUACCGGAUAGGACCGCAUUUUGGAUGGUGUGGUGGAAAGUUUUUUCGGUGUGGGAUGAGCUCGCGGCCUAUCAGCUUGUUGGUGGGGUAAUGGCCUACCAAGGCGUCGACGGGUAGCCGGCCUGAGAGGGUGUACGGCCACAUUGGGACUGAGAUACGGCCCAGACUCCUACGGGAGGCAGCAGUGGGGAAUAUUGCACAAUGGGCGCAAGCCUGAUGCAGCGACGCCGCGUGGGGGAUGACGGCCUUCGGGUUGUAAACUCCUUUCGCUAGGGACGAAGAGUAAUUGACGGUACCUGGAGAAGAAGCACCGGCUAACUACGUG